AAAGAAUUGGUCUUUUAAGAAUAGAAAAGACCAAUGUCAUCUUUAUACAGUUUGGGAAUUCAUCUCGAGUAGUCCAGAGAUUAACAAUAUCAGCGAUAAUUGAGUCAAAGGCGUCUAUGGAGUACACUAACAACAAAAUAGACCAAGGAACAAAAGGCAGGGGUACCUCUUAGAAAAUCUACAAGAAGAAAUGUGUCACAGAAGAGAGUUGGUGGAGUAAGCCCAUCUUCAUGACAAGAGAACUAUGAAACCACAGGAGCAUGACAAGAGAACUACGAAACCACAUCAGACAAGAUGCUGGAUGUUGCUAUGUUUAUUCUUGUGCAGAAUCUUCUACUCAUAGAACCGGAAGGAAAAACCGACUGGAAUUAGAUGGAGGUGUGAAUACGAACAAGAUGACCUGG
rnacentral:lncRNA from 1 species